CCUACGGGUGGCAGCAGUGAGGAAUAUUGGUCAAUGGACGAGAGUCUGAACCAGCCAAGUAGCGUGAAGGAUGACUGCCCUAUGGGUUGUAAACUUCUUUUAUAUGGGAAUAAAAUGUUCCACGUGUGGGAUUUUGUAUGUACCAUAUGAAUAAGGAUCGGCUAACUCCGUGCCAGCAGCCGCGGUAAUACGGAGGAUCCGAGCGUUAUCCGGAUUUAUUGGGUUUAAAGGGAGCGUAGGUGGAUUGUUAAGUCAGUUGUGAAAGUUUGGGGCUCAACCGUAAAAUUGCAGUUGAAACUGGCAGUCUUGAGUACAGUAGAGGUGGGCAGAAUUCGUGGUGUAGCGGUGAAAUGCUUAGAUAUCACGAAGAACUCCGAUUGCGAAGGCAGUUCACUGGACUGCAACUGACACUGAGGCUCGAAAGUGUGGGUAUCAAACAGGAUUAGAUACCCCAGUAGUC
rnacentral:rRNA from 1 species